GUGUGUGUGUGUGUGUGUGUGUGUGUAUAUAUAUAUAUAUGAUGUGUGUGUGUGUAUAUAUAUAUACACACACACACAAACAG